rnacentral:rRNA from 1 species
ACGAACGCUGGCGGCGUGCCUAAUACAUGCAAGUAGAACGCUGAAGAGAGGAGCUUGCUCUUCUUGGAUGAGUUGCGAACGGGUGAGUAACGCGUAGGUAACCUGCCUUGUAGCGGGGGAUAACUAUUGGAAACGAUAGCUAAUACCGCAUAACAAUGGAUGACACAUGUCAUUUAUUUGAAAGGGGCAAUUGCUCCACUACAAGAUGGACCUGCGUUGUAUUAGCUAGUAGGUGAGGUAAUGGCUCACCUAGGCGACGAUACAUAGCCGACCUGAGAGGGUGAUCGGCCACACUGGGACUGAGACACGGCCCAGACUCCUACGGGAGGCAGCAGUAGGGAAUCUUCGGCAAUGGGGGCAACCCUGACCGAGCAACGCCGCGUGAGUGAAGAAGGUUUUCGGAUCGUAAAGCUCUGUUGUAAGUCAAGAACGGGCGUGAGAGUGGAAAGUUCACACUGUGACGGUAGCUUACCAGAAAGGGACGGCUAACUACGUG